GUGCUCGCUUAGGCCAGGCAGCACAUAUACUAAAAUUGGAACAAUGCAUAGAAGUUUCGCAUGACUCCUGUGUACAGAUGAUAUGCAAAUUUGUAAAGCAGUCCACGUUUAU
rnacentral:snRNA from 1 species